rnacentral:rRNA from 1 species
UACGUAGGGUCCGAGCGUUGUCCGGAAUUACUGGGCGUAAAGAGCUCGUAGGUGGUUUGUCGCGUUGUUCGUGAAAACUCACAGCUCAACUGUGGGCGUGCGGGCGAUACGGGCAGACUUGAGUACUGCAGGGGAGACUGGAAUUCCUGGUGUAGCGGUGGAAUGCGUAGAUAUCUGGAGGAACACCGGUGGCGAAGGCGGCAUCCUGGACCAUUACUGACACUGAAAAGCGGAAGCCAGGGGAGCAAACGGG